rnacentral:rRNA from 1 species
UUGACGGGGCCCGCACAAGCGGUGGAGCACGUGGUUUAAUUCGAUGCAACGCGAAGAACCUUACCUGGUCUUGACAUCCCGGAGACCCUUAGGAAACUAGGGGGUGCUUCCAUCUGGAAGAAUCUGGAGACAGGUGCUGCAUGGCUGUCGUCAGCUCGUGUCGUGAGAUGUUGGGUUAAGUCCCGCAACGAGCGCAACCCUUGCCUUUAGUUGCCAGCAGUUCGGCUGGGCACUCUAAAGGGACUGCCGGUGUUAAACCGGAGGAAGGUGGGGAUGACGUCAAGUCCUCAUGGCCUUUAUGACCAGGGCUACACACGUACUACAAUGGCCGAUACAAAGGGCAGCGACACUGCGAGGUGAAGCCAAUCCCGUAAAAUCGGUCUCAGUCCGGAUUGGAGUCUGCAACUCGACUCCAUGAAGUUGGAAUCGCUAGUAAUCGUGGAUCAGCAUGCCACGGUGAAUACGUUCCCGGGCCUU